rnacentral:rRNA from 3 species
GUCUGCAACUCGACUCCAUGAAGUCGGAAUCGCUAGUAAUCGUAGAUCAGAAUGCUACGGUGAAUACGUUCCCGGGCCUUGUACACACCGCCCGUCACACCAUGGGAGUGGGUUGCAAAAGAAGUAGGUAGCUUAACCUUCGGGAGGGCGCUUACCACUUUGUGAUUCAUGACUGGGGUGAAGUCGUAACAAGGUAACCGUAGGGGAACCUGCGGUUGGAUCACCUCCUUA